UCUUUGGUUACCUAGCUGUAUG
rnacentral:miRNA from 14 species